UACGUAGGGGGCUAGCGUUGUCCGGAUUUAUUGGGCGUAAAGAGCGUGUAGGCGGCCAGGUAGGUCUGCUGUGAAAACUCGAGGCUUAACCUCGAGAUGUCGGCGGAAACCAUCUGGCUAGAGUCCGGAAGAGGAGAGUGGAAUUCCUGGUGUAGCGGUGAAAUGCGCAGAUAUCAGAAAGAACACCCGUGGCGAAGGCGGCUCUCUGGGACGGUACUGACGCUGAGACGCGAAAGCGUGGGGAGCGAACAGG
rnacentral:rRNA from 1 species